UUCAGGAUCAGCUGAGAUGUUAUUUCACUGGAUUAUUUAAUGGAUAGACUUAUUGGGCAUAUAUUUGGAUAUCUCUGUCCUCAACCUGGAAGAUAUGUAUUGUUCCUAACCAAUCCAUUCUCUAUGAAGUUCAGCCUGUCUGCCCAAAUUCCUUUGGAAAUACAUAGUUAGUCAACCAACAUAGAAACAAUCAAACUUGAAGGGGAAAGAAAACUACUUAAGUGUUUCUACUGACCCCCUCCAGAGAUCUGCUUAUGAGUGCAUGGGGAAUGCGGUGGACCUUCUCUCCUGUUUAAAUAUACUUUGGAGGCUGGCGCAUGAAUCUUCAUUCACAAAAGGUAUCAACAGUAUGACUGUGGAAGUUCCAUUAUUCUUGGGAGUUAUGUCCAGCAACACAAACCAAUCAUAUCCAGUAUGUACAUUGGAUCUGCUAACUUUACUUUAGGAUACCUAGGAUUUUGAAAGUUCACCAUGUUCAGGAAAGAAGACAUUUUACUUGGUAAAUGAAGGAGAGAAAAAUUGCAAGGGAGGAGGUGUAUAGUUUACAUGGUGCAUUUUUUAAGUACUAUGACUAGGGUGAAGAUGGGGAUUUCACUUGGAUAACUGAGGCUUGGUUAACUGAGGAACAGAAACAACACAUCUCUGUGGUCUCCAUAAACAGAUGAUUAACAGAUUAUUAAUAGCUGGCCAUACCAAGUUUGAACCUGACCACCCCAUUUUGGAGUAUAGAAGAUAGCACAUUCUGUUCAUCAGUCAAGGAAACAUAUACACAGCCUUCUACAUAUUGUCCAGGACCAGAAGAAGCCAGUGGUGUUUUAUAAUUGAAAACCUCAGUGACAUCUCUUUCAGAAUUUUUUUCUAGACCUUUGAAAAUUUUAAACUAAAAAAUCAUAACAUGUAUAUCACAGAGAGAAGACUAUCCGUUUUUUUAUUUAUUUUUUUUUAAUUUUUAUUUUUAUUUUUAUUUUUUUUU